rnacentral:rRNA from 1 species
AACGAACGCUGGCGGCAUGCCCAACACAUGCAAGUCGAACGAGAUCUUCGGGUCUAGUGGCGCACGGGUGCGUAACGCGUGGGAAUCUGCCCUUUGGUUCGGAAUAACAGUUGGAAACGACUGCUAAUACCGGAUGAUGACGAAAGUCCAAAGAUUUAUCGGCCGCGGAUGAUCCCGCGUAGGAUUAGCUAGUUGGUGUGGUAAAGGCGCACCAAGGCGAAGAUCCUUAGCUGGUCUGAGGGGAUGAUCAGCCAAACUGGGACUGAGACAAGGACCAGAUUCCUACGGGAGGCAGAAGUGGGGAAUAUUGGAAGAUGGGCGAAAGCAUGAUACAGCAAUGCCGCGUGAGUGAUGAAGGCCUUAGGGUUGUAAAGCUCUUUUACCAGGGAUGAUAAUGACAGUACCGGGAGAAUAAGCUCCGGCUAACUCCGUGCCAGCCGCCGCCGUAA